UACGGGGGGGGCAAGCGUUGUUCGGAAUUACUGGGCGUAAAGGGUUCGUAGGUGGCCAAUUAAGUCAGACGUGAAAUCCCUCAGCUCAACUGGGGAACUGCGUCUGAGACUGGAUGGCUUGAGUGCAGGAGAGGAACGCGGAAUUCCAGGUGUAGCGGUGAAAUGCGUAGAGAUGUGGAGGAACACCAGUGGCGAAGGCGGCUUUCUGGUCUGUAACUGACGCUGAGGCGCGAAAGCGUGGGGAGCAAACAGG
rnacentral:rRNA from 1 species